GUGUGCGGCUGGCUUGUCCCGCCCCUGCCCCUGAGUGACAGAACCGUGGACAGCAACAUUUCCCACAGGACACGAAGUUUGUCGGCCCUUGCCUUGGCAGAGCUGAGGUUUACAGUGCAAACCCCCAGGAAGGAAGCUUGUGCUGCUUGUUAACAUUGGGAGGAGCAUUGGCCUACAAGCUGGAGUGCAAUGGCGCUAUCUCAGCUCACCACAACCUCUGCCUUCCUGGUUCAAGCAAUUCUCCUGCCUCAGCCUCCCGAGUAGCUGGGAUUACAGGAGUGCACCACCACACCUGGCUAAUUUUGUAUUUUUAGUACAGACGGGGUUUCUUCAUGUUGGUCAGGCUGGUCUCGAACUCCCAACCUCAGGUGAUCCGCCCGCCUCGGCCUCCCAAAGUGUUGAGAUUACAGGGGUGAGCCACCGCGUCUGGCCAAAAUUGUACUUUUGAGAUGAACAUUAAAUCCAUAAACUUUCUCAUCUAUCGAGGUCCGUUUUGGACAAAGAAAAGCUGAUUAUUUUUAGUACAUGCCACUGGAAUAUCAUUACUUGAUACUUAGAACUGUUUUU
rnacentral:lncRNA from 1 species